rnacentral:rRNA from 1 species
GUGAGGAAUAUUGGACAAUGGGCGCAAGCCUGAUCCAGCCAUGCCGCGUGCAGGAAGACGCAUCUAUGGUGUGUAAACUGCUUUUGUACGGGAAGAAACACUCCCUCGUGAGGGAGCUUGACGGUACCGUAAGAAUAAGGAUCGGCUAACUCCGUGCCAGCAGCCGCGGUAAUACGGAGGAUCCAAGCGUUAUCCGGAAUCAUUGGGUUUAAAGGGUCCGUAGGCGGUAUAAUAAGUCAGUGGUGAUAGCCCAUCGCUCAACGAUGGAACUGCCAUUGAUACUGUUAGACUUGACUUACAAGAAAGUAGCUAGAAUAUGUAGUGUAGCGGUGAAAUGCUUAGGUAUUACAUGGAAUACCAAUUGCGAAGGCAGGUUACUACUUGUGGAUUGACGCUGAUGGACGAAAGCGUGGGGAGCGAACAGGAUUAGAAGCCCGGGUAGUCC